UCAACAGCAGAAAACAGCUGCAGCUGUGCUAUUUUUGCGUGGUCAGCCAGACUGACUUACACUGUAUGUCCACCAGUCUGGAAAGGAGCUCGUACGGCCCAAUUUCCGGGAGAUGACGUGACGCAACCACCAGGUGCCAUAUUGGCAGGACAAGCUUGUGACUAAUUUUCGUGACGAUGGUUGACUCAUGUUGUGCCCCUGAAUGCACAAACCACAGGGGGAAGUUAAAAGACAUUUUAUCGCAUCCCUAAAGAUCCUGUUAGGAGAGAAAAAUGGAUUUCUGCCAUCAAACAGCCUUGGAGCGCGAUGAAGAAAACGAAGAGCUGGAUACCGUCACUCAAUGGAUGAAGAUUUUUAAAUCAGCUCUGUCAGGAUGAGUGUGCUUCUAAAGAAAAUCACAGCUUCAACUGGAAGGAAUCAAGAACAGCCGCUCAUCCACCAGCAGACACGAAUAACCUGAACAACCACAAUGCGUUUUCCAAGCCCUCAGCUUUGUGUCAGAUCAGCAAAUGCGAGGACAUCGACUCGUUGAUGGCAGAUGGGAUGUCUACAAGACCAAAGGCUGAAAUAAAAAUGUAUGCAUCCAGAUUAUUGAAUUUGGAUGCAAUGUUCUGCUUGUUACAUUAAAUGUGUAGAAGGUUUUGAAAUGAUCCAUCAUGGCCUCAUGUUUAGGUUUAAAACUCUGGUGUUUUAACAGAUUUAUUAAUUGGGUGUCCUCUCAGAGGCUUGCUGCACAGAAUGACUGAAUCUUCCUGGUUACAUUCCAAGCUGAUGGAAACUGGGAUGUCUGAAUAUUUAGAAUUGCUCUGUCUCCCGCCUCCGCACACUCCUUUUAAUUUUUUAGUGGUUCCUUGUGUUCAGUACACAUGACUUCUGGGAAAUACACCAGUCUGUAAAAAAAAAAUAAAAAUAAGAAAAUGAACAGACCAGAC